rnacentral:lncRNA from 1 species
AAGGCAGGAGAGGAUGUUCCACAGCUGACUGUGACAGAAGCAAGCUACACUUCAGACCUCUCCGCUCUGUGGACGCUUUCUCCUUUUCCGAUUUCUUAACCCUGGGCACACACGUCUGCUCACAGGUUUGUACUGUUUCCCAUUACAGUGUGUUUCUACACGUCACCUCGGCAGAUCAUCACCUCACAUGGGCCAGCCAGGCAUCUCUGAGUCAGAGGUGAGUGACAGACUGGAAGGUGGACUGACAUUCUCCUUCGUUAUACUACUUCCUGCCAGGGUUCCCUUUUUAUUUCCCCCCAAAUAAGAAUUUAUUUAUUUCAUUAGUACAGAUCUGUGAUACGUCACGAGCACAUUCAUCAUGGGGAGUUGGUACUUGUACAAAUCACAUCUUGUUCCUUUUUACUUCCCCUCCCCUCCCUCCCUUCUCCCUCCUUCCCUAGUCUCCUUCCCAGCAGCAAGAUGCCACCAAGCCGCCCUUGCCCUGGGCAUUUAUCAUUUGAGGACCGCAGCCUCCUCCUGUGAGUAAACCACUUUAGAUCGUGUCGCCUCCCCUCACUUCGGUGAUUGAUUCAGCAAGGCUAAUGGUGCGUAAAAACGCUGGUGAGAUCUGGGGGCGCCUGCGAGCCUGACGUCAGAAAGGCAGUUUAAAAAGGGGGGAGCCUGUGGAGAGCUCAGUCGCCGCGGCAAGAGUCGCGAGCCGCCGCCGCUGCCUGCAGAUCCCAGCCUGGAGUUUGAGCAC